rnacentral:tRNA from 2 species
GGGCGAGUAGAUCAGCCUGGUACGAUCGCCACGUUGGCAUCGUGGAGGCCGCGGGUUCAAAUCCCGCCUCGUCCACCA